rnacentral:lncRNA from 1 species
UAAAGUUGAGUUGUUACGUAAUUGUCGACAAUAAUCCUCGUUGCUUUGGGAGGGCAGUGCCCUCUACGAAUCACAAAUUAUGCACGUUCAAAGUUAAGCGCACCAACUGUUUGAUAAUUUGGCUCACCAGCUAAAUGGUAGUUUUCGCAAUGUUUGAGUACCGAACAAUAUUUUAGAGGUUCUUAUCUCGCGUGUACAAAUUUCUGAACGGCUCGAAACUAGCAAAAGCACUCAAAUGAAUCAAAUAAAGACGAAGGAAAG